rnacentral:lncRNA from 1 species
GCAGUCCAGCGUGAAGGGCGGUGGCUCUUCUGAUGAAUGCGCCGGCGAAGCUGUGGACAGCCCCCUCGCAGCAGCCUUUUGAUCGGAGGUUAUGGCGACAGUGGGUGCAGGAGUGGCGGAGGUGAGUGCCUUGGGGUUUCAGAGAUGAAUAUAUUAGGGCAAAUUUUUUUUUUCUUUUCUUUUCUUUUAAGCCUAAGAUGAUAUUUUAACAUCUGUCAUUUAAAUUUUUUUUUUUCCAUGUUGGAUACCUU